rnacentral:rRNA from 1 species
UACAGAGGGGGCAAGCGUUGUUCGGAAUUACUGGGCGUAAAGGGCGCGUAGGCGGCGCGGUAAGUCACUUGUGAAAUCUCUGAGCUUAACUCAGAACGGCCAAGUGAUACUGCAGUGCUAGAGUGCAGAAAGGGCAAUCGGAAUUCUUGGUGUAGCGGUGAAAUGCGUAGAUAUCAAGAGGAACACCUGAGGCGAAGGCGGGUUGCUAGGCUGACACUGACGCUGAGGCGCGAAAGCCAGGGGAGCAAACGGG